CCUCAGAAGCCGGAGGGCGUCAGCCAUGGCUGCUGUGUGAGCUGCCCACCGCGGCCGCCGCGGGAGCCUGGGGAGGACACCCCGAGUGCCGGGCAGCUGGAGCGGAUAUGAUUCUAGAGCACUGUGUAUGUAUUUAAGAACCAAGAAAAUGACUACCUCUCCAGUUUUAGUGUCAUUUGAAGAUUUGGCUGUGGACUUCACCUGGGAGGAAUGGCAAAA